GGGGAGGUACUUCGGGUGUGGAAGUGGCGGACGGGUGAGUAACACGUGGGAACAUGCCUUUCAGUAUGGAACAACCAUUGGAAACGAUGGCUAAUACCGUAUACGCCCUUCGGGGGAAAGAUUUAUCGCUGAAAGAUUGGCCCGCGCUAGAUUAGCUAGUUGGUAAGGUAAUGGCUUACCAAGGCUACGAUCUAUAGCUAGUUUGAGAGGAUGAUCAGCCACACUGGGACUGAGACACGGCCCAGACUCCUACGGGAGGCAGCAGUGGGGAAUAUUGGACAAUGGGGGCAACCCUGAUCCAGCGAUGCCGCGUGAGUGAUGAAGGCCUUAGGGUUGUAAAACUCUUUCAGGGGUGAAGAUAAUGACGGUAACCCCAGAAGAAGCUCCGGCUAACUCCGUGCCAGCAGCCGCGGUAAUACGGAGGGAGCUAGCGUUGUUCGGAAUUACUGGGCGUAAAGCGCGCGUAGGCGGCUUAGCAAGUUGGGGGUGAAAUCCCGGGGCUUAACCUCGGAACUGCCCUCAAAACUGCUGAGCUAGAAUCCUGGAGAGGUGAGCGGAAUUCCUAGUGUAGAGGUGAAAUUCGUAGAUAUUAGGAAGAACACCAGUGGCGAAGGCGGCUCACUGGACAGGUAUUGACGCUGAGGUGCGAA
rnacentral:rRNA from 1 species